rnacentral:rRNA from 1 species
GAUGAACGCUGGCGGCGUGCCUAAUACAUGCAAGUCGAGCGAACAGACGAGGCGCUUGCUCCCCUGACGUUAUCGGCGGACGGAUGAGUAACACGUGGAUAACCUACCUAUAAGACUGCGAUAACUUCGGGAAACCGGAGCUAAUACCGGAUAAUAUAUUGAACCGCAUGGUUCAAUAGUGAAAGACGGUUUUGCUGUCACUUAUAGAUGGAUCCGCGCCGCAUUAGCUAGUUGGUAAGGUAACGGCUUACCAAGGCGACGAUGCGUAGCCGACCUGAGAGGGAGAUCGGACAAACUGGAACUGGGACACGGUCCAGACUCCUACGGGAGGCAGCAGUAGGGAAUAUUCCGCAAUGGGCGAAAGCCUGACGGAGCAACGCCGCGUGAGUGAUGAAGGUCUUCGGAUCGUAAAACUCUGUUAGUAGGGAAGAACAAAUGUGUAAGUAACUAUGCACGUCUUGACGGUACCUAAUCAGAAAGCCACGGCUAACUACGUG